UGCCUUAACAUGCAAGUCGAACGGUAGAGUAGCAAUACUCGAGAGUGGCGAACGGGUGAGUAAUAUAUCGGAACGUGCCCAGUCGUGGGGGAUAACGUAAAGAAAUUUACGCUAAUACCGCAUACGAUCUAAGGAUGAAAGCGGGGGACUUCGCAAGAGGCCUCGCGCGAUUGGAGCGGCUGAUAUCAAAUUAGGUUGUUGGUGAGGUAAAAGCUCACCAAGCCGACGAUCUGUAGCUGGUUUGAGAGAACGACCAGCCACACUGGGACUGAGACACGGCCCAAACUCCUACGGGAGGCAGCAGUGGGGAAUUUUGGACAAUGGGCGAAAGCCUGAUCCAGCAAUGCCGCGUGUGGGAAGAAGGCCUUCGGGUUGUAAACCACUUUUGUACGGAACGAAACGGCUCGCCUUAAUACGGCGGGCUAAUGACGGUACCGUAAGAAUAAGCACCGGCUAACUACGUGCCAGCAGCCGCGGUAAUACGUAGGGUGCGAGCGUUAAUCGGAAUUACUGGGCGUAAAGCGUGCGCAGGCGGUUAUAUAAGACAGUUGUGAAAUCCCCGGGCUCAACCUGGGAAUUGCAUCUGUGACUGUAUAGCUAGAGUACGGUAGAGGGGGAUGGAAUUCCGCGUGUAGCAGUGAAAUGCGUAGAUAUGCGGAG
rnacentral:rRNA from 1 species